rnacentral:lncRNA from 1 species
AUUGGGCACGAAGUAACAAACUUCAAACUAAGAAGAAUGUUACCAGUUACUGAGUAAUAAGCUCUUAGGAGACUCAAAGCAUCUAUCUAGGUAAGAGCUAGAAAGAAACAGUCAAACAAGACUCAACCUAAUGAGGACAUAACUCAAGGGGAGUGGUUUCAUCCGGAUAAUCAAUUGGGAAGGAAACUGAAGUAAUAAUCAUCCACGAGGAAACAACUCAGUGGGGAAGAGGAGAAAGGUUAAAGUCUUUCU